GACGAACGCUGGCGGCAUGCCUAAUACAUGCAAGUCGAGCGAACAGAUGAAGUGCUUGCACUUCUGACGUUAGCGGCGAACGGGUGAGUAACACGUAAGGAAUCUACCUAUAAGCGGGGGAUAACAUUCGGAAACGGGUGCUAAUACCGCAUAAUAUCUUCUUCCGCAUGGAAGAAGAUUGAAAGACGGCUCUGCUGUCACUUAUAGAUGACCUUGCGGUGCAUUAGUUAGUUGGUGGGGUAACGGCCUACCAAGACGAUGAUGCAUAGCCGACCUGGGAGGGUGAUCGGCCACAUGGGGACUGAGACACGGCCCAAACUCCUACGGGAGGCAGCAGUAGGGAAUCUUCCGCAAUGGGCGAAAGCCUGACGGAGCAAUGCCGCGUGAGUGAAGAAGGCCUUCGGGUCGUAAAACUCUGUUAUAAGAGAAGAACAAGUUGUAGAGUAACUGCUACAGUCUUGACGGUAUCUUAUCAGAAAGCCACGGCUAACUACGUGCCAGCAGCCGCGGUAA
rnacentral:rRNA from 1 species